GACGAACGCUGGCGGCGUGCUUAACACAUGCAAGUCGAACGGAAAGGCCCUGCUUUUGUGGGGUGCUCGAGUGGCGAACGGGUGAGUAACACGUGAGUAACCUGCCCUUGACUUUGGGAUAACUUCAGGAAACUGGGGCUAAUAUCGGAUAGGAGCUCCUGCUGCAUGGUGGGGGUUGGAAAGUUUCGGCGGUUGGGGAUGGACUCGCGGCUUAUCAGCUUGUUGGUGGGGUAGUGGCGUACCAAGGCUUUGACGGGUAGCCGGCCUGGGAGGGUGACCGGCCACAUUGGGACUGAGAUACGGCGCAGACUCGUACGGGAGGCAGCAGUGGGGAGUAUUGCACAAUGGGCGGAAGCCUGAUGCGGCAACGCCGCGUGCGGGAUGACGGCUUUCGGGUUGUAAACCGCUUUCGCCUGUGACGAAGCGUGAGUGACGGUAAUGGGUAAAGAAGCACCGGCUAACUACGUG
rnacentral:rRNA from 1 species